GAUGAACGCUGGCGGCGUGCCUAAUACAUGCAAGUCGAGCGAAAGGACGCGGAGCUUGCUUUUCUGAUGUUAGCGACGGACGGGUGAGUAACACGUGGAUAACCUACCUAUAAGACUGGGAUAACUUCGAGAAACCGGAGCUAAUACCGGAUAAUAUUUUGAACCGCAUGGUUCAAAAGUGAAAGACGGUCUUGCUGUCACUUAUAGAUGGAUCCGCGCUGCAUGAGCUAGUUGGUAAGGUAACGGCUUACCAAGGCAACGAUGCAUAGCCGACCUGAGAGGGUGAUCGGCCACACUGGAACUGGAACACGGUCCAGACUCCUACGGGAGGCAGCAGUAGGGAAUCGUCCGCAAUGGGCGAAAGCCUGACGGAGCAACGCCGCGUGAGUGAUGAAGGUCUUCGUAUCGUAAAACUCUGUUAUUAGGGAAGAACAUAUGUGUAAGUAACUGUGCACAUCGUGACGGUACCUAAUCAGAAAGCCACGGCUAACUACGUG
rnacentral:rRNA from 1 species